AGAGUUUGAUCCUGGCUCAGAAUCAACGCUGGCGGCGUGCCUAACACAUGCAAGUCGAACGGGAAGGGGGGCUUCGGCUCCCCCGAGAGUGGCGCACGGGUGAGUAACACGUGGGUAAUCUGCCUUUGGGUGGGGAAUAACGAUCCGAAAGGAUCGCUAAUACCGCAUAACGCAGCGGCACCGCAUGGUGACAGUUGUUAAAGGGGGGGAUCUUCGGACCUCCCGCCUGAAGAGGAGCCCGCGCCCGAUUAGCUCGUUGGUGAGGUAACGGCUCACCAAGGCUUCGAUCGGUAGCCGGCCUGAGAGGGCGGUCGGCCACACUGGCACUGAGAUACGGGCCAGACUCCUACGGGAGGCAGCAGUGGGGAAUUUUGGGCAAUGGGCGCAAGCCUGACCCAGCAACGCCGCGUGAAGGACGAAAUCCCUCCGGGAUGUAAACUUCGAAAGUCAGGAAAGAAAUCCUCGCGGAUAACACCCGCGAGGGAUGACGGUACCUGACGUAAGCCCCGGCUAACUACGUGCCAGCAGCCGCGGUAAUACGUAGGGGGCAAGCGUUGUUCGGAAUUACUGGGCGUAAAGGGCGCGUAGGCGGCACGGCAAGUCGGGAGUGAAAGGCCUGGGCUCAACCGAGGAACUGCUUUCGAGACUGCCGAGCUAGAGUGCGGAAGGGGCAACUGGAAUUCCCAGUGUAGCGGUGAAAUGCGUAGAUAUUG
rnacentral:rRNA from 1 species